AGAAUCAACGCUGGCGGCGUGCCUAACACAUGCAAGUCGAACGAGAAAGUGGAGCAAUCCACGAGUAAAGUGGCGCACGGGUGAGUAACACGUGACUAACCUACCCUUGAGUGGGGGAUAACCUAGGGAAACCUGGGCUAAUACCGCAUGAUACCUACGGGUCAAAGGAGCAAUUCGCUUAAGCGAGGGGGUCGCGGCCGAUUAGUUAGUUGGCGGGGUAAUGGCCCACCAAGACGAUGAUCGGUAUCCGGCCUGAGAGGGCGCACGGACACACUGGAACUGAAACACGGUCCAGACUCCUACGGGAGGCAGCAGUGGGGAAUUUUGCGCAAUGGGGGAAACCCUGACGCAGCAACGCCGCGUGGAGGAUGAAGUCCCUUGGGAUGUAAACUCCUUUCGAUCGGGACGAUUAUGACGGUACCGGAAGAAGAAGCCCCGGCUAACUUCGUGCCAGCAGCCGC
rnacentral:rRNA from 1 species